CAGCACCGCAAGUGGUCAGGAUGAUUAUUGGGCCUAAAGCAUCCGUAGCCGGCGCUGUAAGUUUUCGGUUAAAUCUGUACGCUCAACGUACAGGCUGCCGGGAAUACUGCAGCGCUAGGGAGUGGGAGAGGUAGACGGUACUCGGUAGGAAGGGGUAAAAUCCUUUGAUCUAUUGAUGACCACCUGUGGCGAAGGCGGUCUACCAGAACACGUCCGACGGUGAGGGAUGAAAGCUGGGGGAGCAAACCGGAUUAGAUACCCGAGUAGUCC
rnacentral:rRNA from 1 species